rnacentral:rRNA from 1 species
GACGAACGCUGGCGGCGUGCUUAACACAUGCAAGUCGAACGGAAAGGCCCUGCUUUUGUGGGGUGCUCGAGUGGCGAACGGGUGAGUAACACGUGAGUAACCUGCCCUUGACUUUGGGAUAACUUCAGGAAACUGGGGCUAAUACCGGAUAGGAGCUCCUGCUGCAUGGUGGGGGUUGGAAAGUUUCGGCGGUUGGGGAUGGACUCGCGGCUUAUCAGCUUGUUGGUGGGGUAGUGGCUUACCAAGGCUUUGACGGGUAGCCGGCCUGAGAGGGUGACCGGCCACAUUGGGACUGAGAGACGGACCAGACUCCUACGGGAGGCAGCAGUGGGGAAUAUUGCACAAUGGGGGGAAGCCUGAUGCAGCAACGCCGCGUGCGGGAUGACGGCUUUCGGGUUGUAAACCGCUUUCGCCUGUGACGAAGAGUGAGUGACGGUAAUGGGUAAAGAAGCACCGGCUAACUACGUG